rnacentral:rRNA from 1 species
GACGAACGCUGGCGGCGUGCCUAAUACAUGCAAGUCGAGCGAAGUUUUUCUGGUGCUUGCACUAGAAAAACUUAGCGGCGAACGGGUGAGUAACACGUAAAGAACCUGCCUCAUAGACUGGGACAACUAUUGGAAACGAUAGCUAAUACCGGAUAACAAUAUUUUUCGCAUGAAAGAUACUUAAAAGUUGGUUAUGCUAACACUAUGAGAUGGCUUUGCGGUGCAUUAGCUAGUUGGUGGGGUAAAGGCCCACCAAGGCGACGAUGCAUAGCCGACCUGAGAGGGUGAUCGGCCACACUGGGACUGAGACACGGCCCAGACUCCUACGGGAGGCAGCAGUAGGGAAUCUUCCGCAAUGGGCGAAAGCCUGACGGAGCAACGCCGCGUGAGUGAAGAAGGAUUUCGGUUCGUAAAGCUCUGUUGUUAGGGAAGAAUGGAUAUGUAGUAACUAUA